rnacentral:rRNA from 1 species
GACGAACGCUGGCGGCGUGCCUAAUACAUGCAAGUCGAACGCACUGGGGACGGGUGAGUAACACGUGGGUAACCUCCCAUCAGAGGGGAUAACACUUGGAAACAGGUGCUAAACCGACACUGAUGGAUGGACCCGGGGUGGAGUAGCUAGUUGGUGAGGUAACGGCUCACCAAGGCCACGAUGCAUAGACGAGCUGAGAGGAUGAUCAGCCACACGGGGACGGAGACACGGCCCAGACUCCUACGGGAGGCAGCAGUAGGGAAUCUUCGGCAAUGGGCGAAAGUCUGACCGAGCCACGCCGCGUGAGUGAAGAAGGUUUUAGGAUCGUAAAGCUCUGUCGUUAGAGAAGCGGUAUCUAACCAAAAAGCAACGGCUAACUACGUGCCAGCAGCCGCGGUAAUAC